GCCGGACACGUGGCGCGCGCAGGCCAAUCCCGCUCGGCCGCCUCUCCCCCGCCCCCCACCCCGCGUUCCUUGGCGCCCGGGAUGUUAGAAUGUCACCAGGCCGGGGCUGCUUGCGUGUGUCCUCAGACCCCGGACCUGAGACUGGAGAGAGCACAGGGAGGUUUGGCCAAGCUCGUGUGGCUAUCGCUGAGGUAAAAGCCGGGGCUCUCAGUUCCAGACGCCAAUUCCAGAUUGCUUUCUCCUCCAAAUUCCUACAACUUGCCAAAGCUUAGUUGAGAAACAGAAAAUCUAAGCUUGCCAAUACUGAGGCCCCAGGCAACUUAUCUGUCUGAUCAAAUUCCAUUCCUCAACAACUCUGUCAGGUCAACCUCCUGAUGGCAACAUCUGCAGUGGCUUUUGUGCACUCAGGGACCGUGAUGACCAAAGCAACAUAAGAUUAAAUCAGCACAAGAAGAAGAUGAUGCAAUCGAGAAACAAAGUAAGCACAGAAUGGAUGAGAGGACUGCUGGCUAACAUAGCACCCUGUUUUAUAGCAAAUUAUUUUUACAAGUAGAAAGAGUAUGUGCUGAGGAUAAAACAUGCAAUAUAGUAAAUA